rnacentral:lncRNA from 1 species
CGAGCCUCGUGCUCUUCUCGAAUUUUCUUCCUUCUCAAUUUUCAUCUCGUGAGUGUAGCAACAUGAAUUAUAGCUUGUCAAGCAAUACAUUUUCUCAGCGUUGAGAAGAUUCUGCUCCAUUUUUUCUGAUUAUGGAUUCUGUUCAGAAGGAAGCCGAAUUUUAAGUCAUCGUUCUAGGAUAGAUUCAGCUCCAUUUUCUCUGGUGGUAGAUCUCCAUGGAUGCUAUUGAGAAGGUACUUCUCAAAGUCCACGAGGACAAGGACAUCUUUCCACCGAAUGCCACCUGGUUUAUAACAAAAGCAUGAAAAACAAACAGGAAUUUCUCAAUGCAGAAAGGACUGAAGCUGUCAAAGGUGUGCUUUUUUUCUGCACAAACAAGUUUCCAUUGAAUGAUAGAAUAAAGAGAUACUGACUUCCCCGGAGCCUCCAAACUUGAGUAGUCAGGUGUACUUAUUGGAGCUGACCAGCCUUCACAUGCUGGGUUUGAGAAUGCCUGGACUCUGCCCGUCAAUUCUCUCCUUCUGGGGAAUAUGUUUGAAGCAGGCAUUGGGAUCCGUGGAAGGCUUGUUAAAUCCAAAUAGAUUGGUCCUACUCCAUCCGCAGAGUUGCUGACGAGGUGCGUCCAGGCCUUCUCCUCACCUCUCAGGGAGAUAUACCAUGCAGUGCCUUCAGUUAUGGUGUUGUGACUGAGGAUGCUUCGGUCAGACAUGUCCCUGAAAACCUGCAUAGAGGAAUCUCUUGCCCCAAGUUUCAUUCCAAGUAUUUAAAUUGGAAUUGAGCAUCCUGUCAUGCCAGGGAUGAGAAUGCCUGGGUUACAUCAGUUAGCCCUCUCCUCUUGAGGAAUGGCAUAUUACCCAUUUUAGUUUAAGAACACAGAUGAAAAAUCACCAAGUAAAAAAGGAGCAUAGGGAGGAAUCCAGGAGAAACCAGGCUCAAGCUUCCAGCCACCCUCUUCCAGUGGAGUCAAGUGCACUGCACUUAAUUCUCCCAGCCAGGUGUGCGGCCACCUGUGCCAAGUGUUCCCAACCAGCUGCACUUCAAGGGAAGUUAUUGAAUAUGUCCUAUCCAACUAAAACAAGGAAAUGAUGAAAAAAAUAAAAUCACUUUCCAGAGGCCUCAGGGCUAACUGGAGACAGAGCUCAGACUGCAACUGAGAAAAGUUGGACUCCAAAACCUGUACUCUGAGCUUUACUGCAUGAGAAAGUUAUUGAAAUGUGCCUUGUGACAUUCAGAAUAAGUGACUUUUCAGAGGUCUCAGAGUCAGUAAGAGACAGAACUCAGAUUGUAACCAAGAAGAGCUGAACUCCAAACUUCUGUGUCCGGAAUUGGUGGGUUCUUGGUCUCACUGACUUCAAGAAUGAAGCGGCAGACCCUCGCGCAUACCUGCCAUGCAAGAAAUGUGAAAAGUUCUUCGGAGAGAAGGAAAAUUAUAUAGGUCAGAAACUGAGACCUACAUAAGGAAAGAAGAGCAUUGGAUGAAGAAGAAAUAAAUAAAGAUGCAAUGGAUUAAGACUCUUGACUAGAAUAAUCUGAAGCAUUCUGCGUGAAUUUGUGACCAAAGAAACCAAAAAUCAGGCUACCUUUGACAAUGUCAAAUUACAGUGAACUGUGGAGUCGAUUAUACCUCUCAUAUUUCUUUAUUAUGUUAAAUGCUUAAUUAUUUGCUUGAUUCUGUCUUUGUCAUAGUCCUUUAUUACAAUGACGUCUUAUUUAAGUAAAAGAAUUCCAAAUACAUAGAAAACAAAAGCAUUUGUUUUAUUUCAAAAUAAUGAAGAAACAUAAUAGGUUAUACAACUUUUCAAGAGACCAUUAUGCUGUUAAAUCAUUUAUAUAUCUUCUCUUUAUUUGGACUCAGAAAAUAUGGACAUUAUAAUGCAAAAAGUUACUGAAAAAUCAAUGUCAGCAUCAUCUGAACUCUUUUCCCCUAAUCUAAUCUAGGCAUUUGGAUUACCCAUUUCUAAGCACAUCAGUGGUUUUUGAAUGUCAGUAGCACCCUGCUUAAUCAAUAAGCCUUUAUUUGGCUCAAUGAACUGCUGAUACGUACUUUUACAUAUUCAAAAUCUGUCCCUCAGUAUGGAUACUAACUAGAUCUUUUUUGAAUGAGAAGGUCAGGUCAGGCUCCCCCUUGGCAAUGAUACCAGCUCCCUCAGAUUCUCAUUAAUGGAACCAUGUGCUCACUGAACAAAGAAUGCUUACAGAAAAAAAAAAGAAUAUUGACGUCAGUGUAUAUUAUAUUCCUUAAAAAUAUUUAUAAACGAGCAUUCGUUAUAGAAGCAAGGAACAUGACAGCUUAUUGAUUAUGCAAAUAUGUUCCUUGUACGCUUUUAAAAUAAAUCAAUUAGUGCAAGAGUUGGCAAAGUCUUCCUUAAAGGGCAAGAUUAUUAAAAUAUUAGGCUUUGCUGGCCAUUUGGUCUGUCACAACUAAUUAACUCUGCUGUCGUAAUGGGAAAACAGCCACAGACAAUAUGUGAAAUAAUGGAUGUGGCUGUAUUUCAAUAAAACUUUGUUUAGAGAAACAGGUGGUGGGACAGUGUGUUGAUCCCUGAACUAAUGGGAUAAAAUAUAACUUAAAUAUAAUAUGCAUGUAUGUACAUAUGUUUCUGUUUACAAAAUAGAAUUGAGUGUCUCUUUCAGCUAAUUGAGCACCAUAAUGUAAACCUACAAGAGGUACGAGAGAAUUUCGUAUAUGUAUUUGAAGUCUUGACACUGCUAAAUCUUUUGUUUGUAAUUGGCAUGCCAUGUUGGAAGACAUAAUAGAGAAACUGUCUAUCCAUGCGUCCUUUACUUAAGAAAACUAAACUCUUCUCUGAAGUUAUGUGGUAUAGAUUUUUCCUAAAGGAAGCCAACCAGUUGAAAGAUCAAGCUAUGCAUUAACUCAUCACACUUUAAAUAAGUAAAUAAAUAAAUAACUCACCUAGUUCAUUGUUUGGAUGGUUUAUUGGAUGUGAGAUACUUCAUACUGUCCUGACACAGAGUUUAUUACCUAUGUAAGAGAAGGCACAUAUGGUUAGGUUUCAAGAGAUAUUCUAAUUGUUUCCUGUGGUGAUGUUUGAACUCUACAGUCAAAUUCAGAUGCAUUUAAUUUGGUAAGGUAGACAAUUGGUUAAAUGUUUGGUGUCAAAGUAAGAAAUACAUAGUGAAUUGAUGGAGAGGAAUGUUCUUAAAGUGGUCUAUACAGAUUGACCCUAAAAUCAACCUCACCUUUAUAUCAACCUCGUCUUUGAAAAGAUUGCAGCCCCAAGGACUUUGAUUAUUUUUCUUCAUGACCUCUCUGGGUACCUGAUAAUAGGAAUAGACACACGAAAAAAAACCUGAUAAUGUUACUCUGGUGUAAUCACAACUACUUCUGCUCUAUUAAAACUACCAUGCGAUAUGACCACUUUUACAGUCAUUUGUUAACUUUCUCUUUUAUCAUCAAAGUUGUACUGCACAUACUCAAAACUGACAGCUACAAUAGAGUGGCCCAUAUAUUCUCUGAGAUCAAGACAGAAACAUUACUCAUCAAAUUCUAAUCUAGUGUCACAUAGGAGAAAUACAACUAGCCAGUGAGACUCUCACUGCUAUCUGGCUCACAGAAACAGAUAGAGCAACUUCUCAUCUAUUAUUGAAGCAUUGCAGAAAUUGUGGUGCAGUGUAUGUGCCUACACUAUAAAGUAGCUAGGCUUGCACUUUUUAUGUGUGUUUGGCCAUAUAAUUCAUCUGGGCCUAGUAUCAACUCAGGACAUGGAUAUACUUUUUAAAGUAAUUGAGUAAUGUAUAUCUUUAAAAGCAAUCUCGUUAGAGCUUUAGGACAUUUCUAACAAAGCAAUGAAAUGUAGAGAUCUUAAUACAUUUCUAUGACUAUGAAUGUAAAUAAUAUAUGUUAUUUAAUAUUUUUCACAUGAAAAGAAAAUACUAACCCAGAAUGAAAAUGUAUCAAUAAUCCUGAGUAAAUUAAUCUAACAACAAUGAAUGUUUUGUGGUGCAUAUUUGGCAAAGCCUUCAAAUUUGUCAGACCUUUACAAAUCAUUUUCUUAUGUAGAGUCAUUGCUGUGUUUUGUAAUAAAUUUUGAAAACUGGCUUUAUGGAAUAAAAUAAAAAGCAAAUUUAUUAACUUUUUUGUAAAAGCUUUUCAAUGGUUUCACUAACUAUUUAAAAACAAAAAUAAAUAACCUUUGAGAUUGCUAUAUCAUUGAGAUUAUUUUAAAAGUCUCUUGAAAGUACUUAUACCUUAUUUGGUAUUAUAAAGAGGUUUCUAUAAAAAGUUACUUGUAUUUUGUGUCCCAAAUAAUUCAACAACAUAUUUAUUCAUUCUGCAAACAAACGAUAGCUGUUCCCUAAAGCAAUAUUUAUUAGAAAACUUAGGAAACCUGAGCAAAAUAUUGACUGAAGACAAACACAUUUAUAAUCAAUUAAAGAUAAAAAAGUUAACUUUUUACAAGAUGGACUAAAGAUUUAAAUGUAAGACCUCAAACUAUAAAAAUCUGAGAAGAAAACUGAGUAAAUACCCUUCUCGGUGUGAGCUUUGGCAAAAAAAAAAAAAAAAAAAAUUAUGGCUAAGAACCCAAAAGCAAUUGAAACAAAACCAAAAAUUGACAAGGGAGCCUAAUUCAACUAAAGAGCUUCAGCAUAGCAAAAAGAAUUAUGAACAGAAUAAACAGGCAGCCUACAGAAUGGGAGAAAAUGUUUCCAAGCUAUACAUCCAACAAAGGUCUAAUAGAGCCUAGAAGGAACUUAACAAGCAAAAAACAAUCCAAUUAAAAUGUGGUCAAAGGACAUGAACAGACACUUCUCAAAAUAAGACAUGCAGGUGGCCAACAAACAUGAAAAAAUGCUCAUGAACACUAAUCAUCAGAGAAAUACAAAUUAAAACCAAAAUAGAAUACCAUCUCACACCGGUCAGAAUGGCUAUUACCAAAAAGUCAAAAAAUAACAGAUGCUGGCAAAACUGCAGAGAAAAGGGAAUGCUUACACACUGUUUGUGGGAAUGCAAAUUGGUUCAACCACUGUGGAAAGCAGUUUGGAGAUUCCUCAAAGAUUUGAAAACAGACCUACCACUCGACACAGCAAUCCCAUUACUGGAUAUAUACUCAAAGGAAAAUACAUCUCUCAACCAAAAACAAACAUUCACUCAUAUGUCUUUGUCAGUGCUAUUCACAAUAGCAAAGACGCAGAAACAAUAUAGGGACCCAACAAUGGUGGACUGGAUUUUAAAAAUGUAGUACAUAUACACCAUGAAAUACUGUGUAGCCAUACAAAGAAUGAAAUAAUCUAUUUUGCAGCAACAUGGAGGCAACUGGAGGCCAUUAUCUUAAGAAAAUUAACUCAGGAACAGAAAAUUAAAUGCUAUAUGUUCUGAUAUAUAAAUGGAAGGUAAACAUUGAGUACAUGUGGACUUAAAGAUGGGAGCAAUAGAAACUAAGGACUACUAGAUAGGAGAAGGAGGGAGGUGAAUGGGCUGAAAAACAACCUAUUGGGUACUGUCUGGGUGGGAUCAUGUGUACCCCAAACUUCAGCAUCACACAGUAUACACAUAUACACACAUAUAUACACACAUAUGUAUAUACACAUAUAUGUAAUAUAUCAAUACACAUAUAUGUAAAUGUAUGUGUAUAUAUGUAAAUAUGUAAAUAUAUGUAUAUAUGUGUGUGUAAAUAUAUGUAUACAUGUAUAUGUGUGUAAAUAUAUGUAUGUAUACAUAUAUGUAUAUGUGUGAAUAUGUAUGUGUAUAUGUAAAUAUAUGUAUAUAUACAUAUGUAUACAUGUAAAUGUAUGUGUGUACGUGCAUAUGUAAACACACAUAUGCAUAUAUGUAAAUAUAUGCAUAUGUAAAUACAUAAAUGCAUAUUUAUGUAAAUACAUGUAAAUAUGCAAACACACAGAUGCAUGUUUAUGUAAAUAUAUGUAAAUACAUAAUGUGCAAAGCGCAUGUAUAUGUAAAUAUAUGUAAAUAUGCAUAUAUGUAAAUGUGCAUGUAUACACAUGUAUGCAUGUAAAUGUGUAUGGCUAUAAACAUACGCAUAUAUGUAAAUAUAUACGUAUAUGUAAAUAUAUGUAAAUAUAUUUACAUAUAUACAUAUUCACGUUAUGCAUAUAUGUAAAUAUAUUUACAUAUACACAUACAUAUUCACACAUAUACAUAUAUGUAUACAUACAUAUAUUUACACACAUAUACAUGUAUACAUAUAUUUACACACACAUAUACAUAUACAUUUACAUAUAUGUAAAUUGAUAUAUUACAUAUACGUAUAUGUAUAUAUUUACAUAUCUGUAUAUAGAUGUAUUUACAUAUGCAUAUAUGUAUAUAUUUACAUAUAUUUACAUGUAUACAUAUAUGCAUAUAUAUAUAAAUAUAAAUACAAACCUGUCCAUGUACCCUCUAAAUCCAAAAUAAAAGUGGGGUAAAAAGGCUUAACUUUUCACAGAUUAUCUUCAAAGUGACCACUAAUGGAUAUACUUCCACACACAGAAAAAUAAACCCAGAAAGAGGAAAUUGAAUGAAAGAAGAAAUGACGAAAGAGAAAAUGGUUAAAUCUAAACAAGUUGUGAGGCUGGCACGGUGUCUCACGCCUGUAAUCCCAUCACUUUGGGAGGCCGAGGUGGGAAGAUCUCUUGAGACCAGGAGUUUCAGUCCAGUCUGGCCAACAUGGUGACACUCUGUCUAUACUAAAAAUACAAAAAUUAGCCGAGUGUGGUGGUGUGUGCCUGUAGUCCCAGUUACUUGGGAGGCUGAGGCAGGAGACUCACUUGAACCCAGGAAGUGGUGGUUACAGUGAGCCAAGAUUGCACCACUGCGCUCCAGCCUGGGCGACAGAGUGAGACUCUGUCCCAAAAAUAAAUAAAUAAAUAAAUAAAUAAAUAAAUAAAUAAAUAAAUGUAAACAUGUGAGAUUUUAAAAUAUUGUAGUAAAGUUUGGAAUUGUUUAAAAGCAAAACUUAAUGAAAAGACUAGGAAAAAUAGAGGGAUGAAUGGUAGACGAUAUUUGAAUAAAUUCUGUCAUGUAAGGGAUGAGAAAAAUCAUGGGCGCACUCUAAAUUUGUGAAUUAAAUAUAAAAUUAAUAUGGAUGUUUAAUGUUAAGGACCUCGAUUAAAACGGAAUAAUAGAAUGCGGGAAGAAAAUUAAUAUGAAACCAAAGCAUGACAAUUUUUUAAAAUAGUAAAAUAAAUACAUAUAUUAUAAAAUGAGAAUUAUAAAUUGAUUAAAUUCAUUCAUUAGAAGACAUUAAGAAACUAGAGUCUUGAAAAUUAGAUGUGUGUGGCUUAUUAAGAGAAACCCCAAAAGCAAACUGACAGAUACAUUUGAAUCAUCAGGGUUGGAAGGCAAUAUGUAUCUGACAAACUAAACAAAUAGAAGAUAAUAAGAUAAUAUGUAAUAUUACAUAAAAUACAAUUUCACAUGCCAAGAAUCCAUAAUAAUAAAACUAAUGAUAACUAUAAUAUAAUAAGAGCCAACAUUUAUGAUAAAUACAUGGCAAUUAUAAAUUUGUACAAAGCUAAGAGCUUAUCUUCAAAAUAUAUAACAUGAAAUAGCAUUAAAAAAGUAUAAUAAAAACAAAAAAAAUUAAAAAAUGAAAUUUUAAAUGUGUUACCCUAUUUGAAGGUUUUAAGAAAGUUUUCUUAGAAUAUAAUAUAUUGUACAUAAAUAAGCAUAAAUAUAGG